AACGAACGCUGGCGGCAGGCCUAACACAUGCAAGUCGAGCGAGACCUUCGGGUCUAGCGGCGGACGGGUGAGUAACGCGUGGGAACGUGCCCUUUGGUUCGGAAUAGCCCCGGGAAACUGGGAGUAAUACCGGAUAAGCCCUACGGGGGAAAGAUUUAUCGCCAAAGGAUCGGCCCGCGUUGGAUUAGGUAGUUGGUGGGGUAAUGGCCUACCAAGCCGACGAUCCAUAGCUGGUUUGAGAGGAUGAUCAGCCACACUGGGACUGAGGCACGGCCCAGACUCCUACGGGAGGCAGCAGUGGGGAAUCUUAGACAAUGGGGGAAACCCUGAUCUAGCCAUGCCGCGUGAGCGAUGAAGGCCUUAGGGUUGUAAAGCUCUUUCAGUGGGGAAGAUAAUGACUGUACCCACAGAAGAAGCCCCGGCUAACUCCGUGCCAGCCGCCGCAGUAAGAC
rnacentral:rRNA from 1 species